rnacentral:rRNA from 1 species
AGUGAACGCUGGCGGUAGGCCUAACACAUGCAAGUCGAACGGCAGCACAGUAAGAGCUCGCUCUUACGGGUGGCGAGUGGCGGACGGGUGAGGAAUACAUCGGAAUCUACUUUUUCGUGGGGGAUAACGUAGGGAAACUUACGCUAAUACCGCAUACGACCUACGGGUGAAAGCAGGGGAUCUUCGGACCUUGCGCGAUUGAAUGAGCCGAUGUCGGAUUAGCUAGUUGGCGGGGUAAAGGACCACCAAGGCGACGAUCCGUAGCUGGUCUGAGAGGAUGAUCAGCCACACUGGAACUGAGACACGGUCCAGACUCCUACGGGAGGCAGCAGUGGGGAAUAUUGGACAAUGGGCGCAAGCCUGAUCCAGCCAUACCGCGUGGGUGAAGAAGGCCUUCGGGUUGUAAAGCCCUUUUGUUGGGAAAGAAAAGCAGCAGGUUAAUACCCCGCUGUUCUGACGGUACCCAAAGAAUAAGCACCGGCUAACUUCGUG